rnacentral:rRNA from 1 species
GACGAACGCUGGCGGCGUGCUUAACACAUGCAAGUCGAACGGAAAGGCCUUUUCGGAGGUACUCGAGUGGCGAACGGGGGAGUAACACGCGGGUGAUCUGCCCUGCACUCUGGGAUAAGCCUGGGAAACUGGGUCUAAGACCGGAUAGGACCGCACUUUAGUGUGGGUGGGGGAAAGUUUUUUCGGUGUAGGAUGAGCCCGCGGCCUAUCAGCUUGUUGGUGGGGUAAUGGCCUACCAAGGCGGCGACGGGUAGCCGGACUGAGAGGUUGGUCGGCCACAUUGGGACUGAGAUACGGCCCAGACUCCUACGGGAGGCAGCAGUGGGGAAUAUUGCACAAUGGGCGCAAGCCUGAUGCAGCGACGCCGCGUGGGGGAUGACGGCCUUCGGGUUGUAAACUCCUUUCGCCAGGGACGAAGCGUUUUGUGACGGUACCUGGAGAAGAAGCACCGGCUAACUACGUG